ACAGGGAUUGCCCUAGUAACGGCGAGUGAAGCGGCAACAGCUCAAAUUUGAAAUCUGGCUCUUUCAGAGUCUGAGUUGUAAUUUGCAGAGGGCGCUUUGGCGUUGGCAGCGGUCCAAGUUCCUUGGAACAGGACGUCACAGAGGGUGAGAAUCCCGUACGUGGUCGCUGGCCUUCGCCGUGUAAAGCCCCUUCGACGAGUCGAGUUGUUUGGGAAUGCAGCUCUAAAUGGGAGGUAAAUUUCUUCUAAAGCUAAAUACUGGCCAGAGACCGAUAGCGCACAAGUAGAGUGAUCGAAAGAUGAAAAGCACUUUGGAAAGAGAGUCAAAUAGCACGUGAAAUUGUUGAAAGGGAAGCGCUUGCAGCCAGACUUGCCUGUAGUUGCUCAUCCGGGCUUUUGCCCGGUGCACUCUUCUGCGGGCAGGCCAGCAUCAGUUUGGGCGGUUGGAUAAAGGUCUCUGUCAUGUACCUCUCUUCGGGGAGGCCUUAUAGGGGAGACGUCAUGCAACCAGCCUGGACUGAGGUCCGCGCAUUUAUGCUAGGAUGCUGGCGUAAUGGCUGUAAGCGGCCCGUCUUGAAACACGGACCAAGGAGUCUAACAUCUAUGCGAGUGUUUGGGUGUCAAGCCCGAACGCGUAAUGAAAGUGAACGGAGGUGGGACCCCAUUAGGGUGCACCAUCGACCGAUCCUGAUGUCUUCGGAUGGAUUUGAGUAAGAGCAUGGCUGUUGGGACCCGAAAGAUGGUGAACUAUGCUUGAAUAGGGUGAAGCCAGAGGAAACUCUGGUGGAGGCUCGCAGCGGUUCUGACGUGCAAAUCGAUCGUCAAAUUUGGGCAUAGGGGCGAAAGACUAA
rnacentral:rRNA from 1 species